GUUCACCCAGUAAAGCCAAGUAUCCAGCCAGUGGAGAUGACAAGCAGUGGAGACCUGACCCGUCCAGAACUGAAGCAGCCUGCCAGCUGCUGCAGAUGACACCUUCCAGCAGCACCUGCAACCGAGCAUCAAUGACUGGGACCAUAUCUACACCAGGGACAGCAAUGGGUGAGCACCAAAAUGAGAAUCAGGAGGUGUGGAAGAAAUAGACCAGGUCCAAAAUCUGAACUCUUUAGGGGUUUGGGGGCAUGCAUCUACCAAACAGAAAAAUACCAAGGUCCGGACCACGGUGAUCCUUGGUGGUGUGUACUCGAAGUAAGUGUACUCAUGUGCACAAAAAUCAGGAAUGCCAGUAUUUCAGGUACUGCUUACAUACAAAAUGACAAUUGAACUGCAUAUAGGUGCUGCUAUAUUAUUGCUGCUAUAAUACUAUUAUGCACAAUACUACACUAGUUUGAAGGUGCCAAAUGAACAUCCUUGUCUAUGAAAAUCUUCUGCCAGAACUUCCUGCAAACAAACAAACAAACCAAACUAGACCAAGACCACCUCAUUUGGUCUGGCUGUUUGGUCCAGACUGUGAUCCGAACUGUGUUGUACUUGGUCGGUCUCUUUACUAUGACACAGCGUUUAGUUUUUCUCUCAAACUUUUUUUGGUGAGGUUGUCCUGGAGUUUCAUUUUCAAAAACAUUUCACAUUACACUUAGCUGUGUGUGCGUGUGUGUGUGUGUGUGUGUGUGUGUGUGUGUGUGUGUGUUUGCACGAGUACGAGAGAGACAUUUAGUGUGACAGACAGAUGGAGUAAAAUGGAGAAAAAGCUUCCCGUGUCUGAUUUACAAAGCCAUGGGGAAAGAGAAAGGAGACCAUAUUAGGCAAUGUUUGGCUCAACAGGAGAGAUGGCUCUGACUGUUAUCACAGCCUGUCUAAACACACACACAUGCACACUCAUACAGACACGUUCCCUCUCAGGGCUUGUAGCCUGAAGUUAGCCUGUGACUGUGAAGUUAGUCUGUGAAGAAACAUUUGAGUUUUCAGUUUAUAUAAUUAAUUUUCAUUUGAGGGAUUUUAUGUGUUUUGUGUUAAAUUGAGUCGAUCAGGUAGUAUGUGUACAGCAGCCGUGCUGUCUCCUAUCAUCCUCAUUCUUUGCCUCCUGUGCUGUAGAUUUUGUGUGUAUACUCCAUACAACACUGCAUACUGUAUACUACAAAGUAUACGGUUUUACUGAGAGAGAAAACUGUCCAAGGACCGUUGAGGCUGGAACUGGACAGAAGGAAGACUGCAGAUCGUAGGAUGCAUUUACUGUUUAAGAAGAGAAAGGAUAAGAAUUUAGUUCAGUUUUCACCCUUUCAGGGUAUCCCCACUCACCUGGAGGACACACAAAGAUACUAGAAUAGCCAUGGAUGUGGGGAGGGACCCAUAGAGGGGUUUGUGCUAGACCCUGCACAUAGGUGCUUUAACAACAUUUUGAUAUUUAAUGUAAAAAUGGAACAAAAAUUCACUAUGAUGGGGUACCUUGGUUUCAAAAUGUUUGGGAACCACUGACCUAACCAUAUGUAUCUUAUCAUCCACAGCCAGGCUGCUGCAGGGCCUGUCUAUACACACUCUGUUCUGUACAACGCUCUCAGGAAAUUCUCUAUAGCUUGCUAGAUACACCUAUACAAUGAGGGUCAAAUGAUUUCAGAGGUAAAAGGUUAAAAUGUGAUGAACUGGAGUAAUCUGAUUUUUCACAGAUUCACUGUCUCAUGUACAGGACACAGUGAACAUUUCAGCAAAUAUGGCAAAAUAUUUAUUUAUUUAUUUAUAUAACAUUCAUAACAGUUUAAAAAAGCUGUGGCUCAGGAGGUAGAAGUGGUUCAAUCCCUGGCUCCUUCUGUUGCAUGUUGAAGUGCCUUGAGCAAGAUACUUAACACUAAAUUGCUACUGAUGCUGUGCAUCAGUGUCUGAAUGUGAAUGAAUGAGUUAGUUUAUGUUUGUGAUGAACAUACCUCUGCCUUUACUGUAUGAAUGUGCGUGAAUGGGUGAAUGUGGCAUGUUGUGUAAAGUGCUUUGAGUGGUUGGAAGACUAGAAAGGCGCUAUACAAGUACAGUCCAUUUACCUACUGCAGUUUUAAUAAUAUUCUGCUGAUUUUGGCCAUGACAUUUAAAUGAUAUAACAUAUCAGUCCUUGCUGUUGCUGUUUCCUUGCUGUACCACAGCAAGGAAACAGCAACAGCAAGGAAAUUCAAAAGUAGUCAUAUCUUUGUUUUACCUGAGCUAAGAUGAAUGUUUUCAUUCUCUCCACAGAAGAAAGGAAAACUAAAUGUUACCAGCAGUUGAUAGAUAUUUUGGGCCCCUUACAACAACUCACCAGCUGACAUUAUAUCCCUGGUUUGUUCCAGGGCCCUUCUCAGCUUUUGAGCCAUAAAAGGAAUUUCAUGUGAACAUUUCUCCCACUGAAAAAUCGGAAAAGUUUACAAUAGAAACAAAUAAUUACUCCAUGGCAGAGUGUAUGGACUGAUUUCUCGGAGUAUCUCUGAAUAUGGUUAGGCUAUAGAACUCUGGGUGUGUUUUAUUGUUCACAGAUAGGGGUAAAUGUUUUGUUUUAUUUUGAUAGAUAAAUAAAAGAGUGACAAGAGCCACCAUCCGUCAGAUGUGACACAAUGAAGGCAGGAGGUGAUUUCUGUUAGUGACAUGCUGAUUUACACAAAAAUCACACAGAGCUCCUUCUAAAAUAAUGAAUUAAAGGAACAGAUCAAUGUUUUAGGAGGUAUUAUUCUUUGUACCUUUCUUUCCAAGAGUGAGAUAUGCUUUAUAGUUUUUGGUAGGUGUAUUUCCUGACUGAUAUCAAUCCUCUCAUCUAAUCUAACUACCAGAUAAAGAGAGAAUAGUGUAUUGUCCUAGUGAUAGUCCUUUAAGACUACAGACUGGACACUGGUUAAAUCUUCAUCCUGCCACUUGAAUAUGAUGGUGCUUUGUGUUGGACUAAUAGAAGAGUAAGAGUGUGUACUAAACAACAAAGUGUAUUUGAAUCAAGGCUGGUGAAGAUGAUGGUGAUGAUUGUAAUGGUGAAGAUAUGAAGAUGCUCCCUAUGAUGUGAAACUCGGCAACAGGAUGGAGGCACACACACACACACACACACACACACACACACACACACACACACACACACACACACACACACACACACACACACACACACACACAGUCAGGCUGGGAGAGGGCAGGUUUGUUUGUUGGUUUAGUUUAGUGGGGGCAACACUUCCUGAGGACAGACCUCGAGACAUGACCUACUGUGGGAUUUUUUAAGCUGUGUUUGUGAGUGAGUGUGAGAGAGAGGGAGAGCUGGUCUUUCUUCUUAAUAUGGACUUGUUGAGCCCAGAGCAGAGGGAGAGGGACUGAGUGAGAUAAAGCUUCCUCUCCCUCUGCUGCCUUUUAAGUGAGUCUCUCCCCACUGUGACUAGAAAAGGGAAUGUAUGUAGACAGCUGGGAGGAGGGGGUGGGGGUGGGGUGACAGACUAUCAGUGGGAGCAAUCACAGACUGGAAGAGGGAAUGUUUAUCCAAAGCAGCAAUUCUAGUUUCCAUGAUCCCCAAAAUAAAAGGCUGGCUCAAACCUUAUAUGGGCAGACUGGGAGUUUCUAGCCAAGCGGAGUCAGAGCAUUCUUGGAAAACACCGACUUCUCUUUCUCCACCACUCUCUUUAUAUGUCUCUCUCUUUCAGGAACUCAGUGAUAUAUAUGGUAACUGUUCGAGUGACAGUGCUGGUGCUCAGAGGACAAUAAAAUCCCACAAGAACAUUGUAAAAAUACAGUUCUACAGUAUUUAAAAAAGGGGAAUGAUUUAUCAGAUGUUGCUGUACACACAGUUCAAUUUGAUGUCAAUCUCAGGACACUUUUCAGUAGGUCUAGACCAUACUCCUUAUAAUAAUUGUUGAGAUAAUGGAGGAGGAAGGGUCUGCAUGAGGGGUAAGACUUAAAAAGUGUUGUCUGUUUUGUACUUUCUGCACAGAAACUCAUUCUUAAGAGGAGUUUAACAACAAUUUCCAUACAUUUCAUCUACUGAGAUCACAAGAAGCUAUUGCCACCACUGCAUCCACUCAGCCAUUAGCUGUUUUCCAGAAUCUUGCAAUAAUUCUGGGCAAUAUAAACAAUAAGUAAACACAAGGGCUCCAAAUGAGCCAACUUACCAACAUCAGAUGUGUCAGUAAGGUGUUGUUCUUCAACAUGAACAGCUUCAGUGCUCCAUGACAUAUAUUCUCUGGUGUCUGGAAGUCUACCGCGGGGAAGAGCAGCAUUCCUCUAAAAGAUAUUCCUUCCUUCUUCAUGGUGGUGGUGGAGAGCGCUGACAACUGUCAUUUUCAUAAUCAUCAAACCAUUCAGUGAGCUCUGAAACUGAAUGGAAGCACAUGAAUUAAUAGUUUUUUCACUGAUUUGUUAAACAUCUAUGAAAUUGCAGUUAAAAUAUGUGAUAUCAGCUCAUAGUUGGUAUAAAAGUGGCCUGUUAGUAUUUAAGAGAAUCAGUAAAACAAACCACCCAACCAUUCUAGACUCCUCAGACUUUGACCCUGAACUGUCUCCACUUCAAUCAAACUCAAACCUGAAAGGUUAGAGCCUCCAACAGCAGCAGGAUUGCGAACUAAAGCCAUAACUGUGCAAACACACAAAAUAACAGUAAGAAUACAUACCUACCCCACAGGUUUUUAUGUCAUGCAUUCCCAAAUAUUUGGAAUGCUCCACCAAAUGUAUGGGGACAAUGUGAGCUAUCAAUUUAAAAAAACUGAGGAGAUGGUGUUUGACCCUCGGUCAGUGGGGGAUCAUACUCCACUGUCCAUACACAGGGAGGAGAUCAAACAGGUCACUGGGUAUCCACCUGGAUAACCUCUUCAGCUGGAGUGAUCAUGUAGAUUAUGUAUGUUCCCGUUUACAGCAAAGGCUGUAUUUUUUACGCAGACUGAGGGUGUUUGUCAGCCAGAACAUCAUGUUUUUAUUUUAUCAGGCAGUAAUGGAGAGUGUCAUCAGGUAUGGGAUGACGGCGUGCUUCAGCAAUCUCUCCACACAGUCCAAAUCUAAGUUGCAGCGCCUGGUACAGACUGCUAUGAAGGUGAUGGGGAGGACUGAAAAGCUCUCCCUUUAGUCCAUCUAUGAGCAGUCUGUACUCAGGCAGGCAUGGAGGGUAUUGUUGGACCUGUCCCACAUCCUUCAAAGGGAAUACGAGCUCUUGCCUUCUGGCAGAAGGUACAGAAUCCCAAAAUGCAAAUUGAACCGUUUUAAAUACUCUUUUGUACCCACCUCCAUCAAAAUUUUAAAUAGAUCUGUAUGCUGAGGCCUGGGAAUGGAUGUACGCAAGGACCUAGUUGCACAUUUCCCAAGGAAGACAGGGAGAGGACGCUGUGCAAUAACUUGGUGUGCAAUAACUUGGUGUUCUGUUUGUUUUGUUUUUCAUUUGCUUUAAUCUUUCAUUGGAUGUGUCAUGAGUGUGUAUGUAGCCUACGUGUACGUCUUUAGCUGUUAUAUGUAUUUUAUGUGUAUUUAUUGUCUGUAAGGGCAGCUACUACUAUGCACUACGCACUUUGAGUCCAUGACUAAUUUCCCCUAGGGGACAGUAAAGUAUAUUCUAUUCUAUUCUAUUCCAUUUUAAAUGCAGAGGACACAUUUUGUUUCAAUUAAUGUAAAUGCCCAGAAAUUACAGUAUAGUUCAAGACUGUAAGCCUGAAUCUGUUGGUUUCCUCCUCAACCGAGAGGAAGGAGUAGAGAGCCAACGGUUAUAAAGAGCAUGCAUGAUAUCCGUUUGUCAGCCUGUGUGUGUGUCUGUGAGCUGUCUUUUGCUGUAAUGCCUCUCUUUUAACUUUUAACUUUUAACUUUAACGUGUGUUGUGUUUCAGAUCUCAGAGUUUGGCUUGUAGUAGAGAGGUUCUCAUGGAGCCUGGCGGAGCCUCCUGGUCGUCGUCCACUAAUCGGAAGGUUGUUGGUCUGAUUGCUGGUUCCUCCCACCACAUGUCGAAGUAUCCUUGAGCAAGAUACUGAACCCCAAAUUGCUCCUGAUGCUGUGCAUCGGUUUGUGAAUUUGCAUGAAUGAACUAGUUUCUGUUCGAUGGAGUUUGUCAUCCCUCUGUGAAUGUGGCAUGUAGUGUAAAAGUGCUUUGAGUGGUUGGAAGACUAGAAAGGCUCUAUACAAGUACAGGUCAAUUUACUGAACCCUCUUUAGUGCUAGCCUUAUAUAAGGGAAAACAGUCACUUUUAAGUUAAAUUGAGAUUUAUAGAUCUUAGGUGUGAAGCAAGGUUGUUUAUGCUCAGCAUCUUUUAUGAAUCUGACUUAAUUACACCCUUGGAAAUAAUCUCAAGAUUAAGUUCAAGUAUAAAUCUAAAAACAUCUUUAUACAUAAGGCCCCUGAACCCAGUCAGAAAUGCACAAACAUAAUGAGAGAACCUAUUACAUAAGAUGAAGAGAAACAAGGCUGAUGGGAGUUUGGGAAAUCCACCCACAAACAGGUUGAAUCUCUCCUGUCACAGUAUGUAAAGCCACAGAGAGCUGCAACCCUUGAGCAGCGUAUUACUCUGAAAUAGUGCUGUAUGUGGAGUACAUGUGCACUCAAAGUCAGACACCACUUUCUUUCUGUAAAAUAUACAGGAGUUUAAAAAGCAUCCCCUAAAUGUAUUAUUGAUUAGGAGUGGUGGUGGUGUGGGGAAACAAAUGGUUUACUGAGGUAAACCUGACCAAACCGUUUUCGUUCAAAAAUAGAAAAGAAUAUAAAAAUAUAUGAACAAGUAAACACAAAUAAGGGGCAUAUACAAAGGGACAUACCAACAAUAAAAUUAAACUAAAAACCACGUUUACAGGAAUUUUUAGCUAUGAUUGAAAUCUUAACAGAUACUCUGUCCAUUUUUAUAUAGAUCCAAUAUAUAAUAAUAACAGCAAAUGCACAUUUUGAAAUAUUUUGUAUUGAACAAAAGUUCCAACUUAACAUUAAUGGUAUUAUUAUUAAGAAAUUUCCCCUCCGGGAUCAAUUAAGUAUAUCUGAUUCUGAUUCUGCACUUCCAUCACUGAUCUUUCAUCAGUUUAUUCUAUGGAGUUUUGAUAAUAUAUGUAAUAUCUUAUAUUGUGUGUAAACUGCCACCAGAUUCUGUCUUACCUUUACUCCACUAGUUAGGUAGAUUUAUGGGUACUAUAGCCAAAGGAUGUCAUGGAGUGAAGUACUCUGUUCAUGCUGACUAACACUGAGUAAACACUUAAGCGUUGAAGUACUUGUUCUUGGAGGCUUCUCCUUGAUCUACUGUGGCUUUGAUUGUACCUCAUUUGCAUGUCACUUUGGCCUAAAACACAUGACCAAAUGAACAAAUGUAGACUCUGUGUUUCAGUUUGUAGAACAGAAACUGAGAAUCAGUAUUUUUCUGACAUAACUUAUUCCUGGUUAAUAAACUUUGCACAUGGAACUGUAUCAAA